GGCCUGUGAUGUGAGAAAAAAGAUAUUUGCUACUCUUGAUGGGUUCUUGACCCAUUUGAUGACUCCUGAUCCACCAAGAUCUCUGAGGCC